GAAAUGCGAUACGUAAUGUGAAUUGCAGAAUUCAGUGAAUCAUCGAAUCUUUGAACGCACCUUGCGCCCCUUGGUAUUCCGAGGGGCACACCCGUUUGAGUGUCGUGAAAAUCUCAACCUCCUYGGUUUCUUCUGGACGCCGAAGGAGGCUUGGACUUUGGAGGGCUUUGCUGGACUUUCGAGUCCAGCUCCUCUCAAAUGAAUUAGCGAGGUCCCCUUUGCCGAUCCUCGACGUGUGAUAAGAUGCUUCCACGUCUCGGUCGUCGGCUCUGUCGCCUCUCGGGACCUGCUUCCAAUCGUCUCUUGACGAGACAACGUUCGAGCUUGCCUCGACCACGUACCCUUGACCUCAAAUCGGGUGAGACUACCCGCUGAACUUAA
rnacentral:rRNA from 1 species